AGAAGGAGAAGAGGAAGAGGAGGAUGACGAGGAUGCAGAAGAGUUUGAUGAUGAUGAUGAAGAUGAAGAAGAUGUAGAAGGAGAAGAGGAUGAAGAUGAUGUCAGUGGCGAAGAGGAGGAAGAAGAGUUUGGACCUGAUGGCGAAGUAGACGAGGAAGAAGAGGAGGAUGAGGAAGAUGAGGAAGGGGGUGGAAAAGGUGAAAAAAGAAAACGAGAGACAGAUGAUGACGGUGAUGAGGAUGACAGCUAAAUUAAUACCCCCGUGUCAUGAAUUAUCUCCACGGACUGUUUAACAUUGUUUGGACUUGCCCCAUGAAUAAACACAUGGUGGAGCUUACAUGUACGCACUCUGAAUGCAAAUGCAUAAGCAGGUUUGUGAACAAAAGUGAGCCAAAGAGUUGCGUUCUGCAAGACAUUCCACAUUUCUGCCAUUUGGUCCCUAAUAAAAAUCCACCAUGAGAUAAAAUGAGGUUUGGGGGCUAAAACUGGGUCAGUGCUUUUACUAUUGUGUUUGGGGUUCUUAGGUUUUUCCCUGUAAAACUUGCUAUAGCAACAUGAAAUGUAAUGGGUUAGUCAUGAUUGUCAAUGGCUGCCUAUUACACAGAGGUUGUAGCAGCAUUUUUACUUUCUGUAUGACGAAAAAAGCUUUGUAAAUAAAAUCUUAAAUUUUG